rnacentral:lncRNA from 1 species
UAACAGUCCAGUACUGCCUCUAAUUUCUAAUCAAUUUUGCACAAAUUGGGCCAGCGUGCUUCAAAUUUCUACUGUCAAUUUAUCUUCCAUUGAUCUUCGUUGUUUUACUACUGACUCCCGAAAAAUUUACCAAAGUUUCUUAUAGUUAUUCUAGAAAUUCCGGUGGUCAGUCUCUGUAAUUUCUUCUCACUUUUUUCUUCUCUUUCUCUAUUCCAGACUUUCUAUGUUCAUUUUUCAAAUUAUGCUCUUUCUACCGGUGAGUUUUUUUUCUGCAAUCUUUAUUUGGUUACUGUAUUUUCUUUGGUGAUUACCAUUUGCUGGGUAUUAGUUAGUUUCUUAUUCUUUUGGUGGGUAUCCGGUAAUAUUUUUGUUCCCUCGGAUUAUUAUUGUUUGAUUUUGUUCAUGCAUGUCAAUAAUGUUUUUGAUUUGCUCAUGCAUGUUUGGGAAUAGAUACCCAGUAACCCAGGUGCAAGUUUGUGCUGUAAAUUCUAUCUGUUAUUGGAGUAGAGUCAAAAUUCUUCUUUUUCCGUUUAAUUAAAAAAGCAUCUAAGAUCGAUGAAGCCUCCUUUAUAUUUUGAUUUUCAUUUUAUUGAUGUCUACUGUUAUUUCAUCAGUUUCCUCUCAUUUCUAAGUAUAAUUAUGCACUAUUGAUGUUUUUUCAUUGUGUUUUACUGAAAAGUGUAAGCAUGUCAUUUUUGUUUGCUUUUCAAGCUACCAGGGAAAAGUUUAGGAAUUUCUUUUUCCUUAGUGAUGCAGUCGUGAUUUGUAGUUGUGAUAAAUGUUCAUUGUUUAUGCAGUGAGGAAUCAAGAAAAAAUUUAACAAGAAAAAUCCUAAUACGAAGGUUGUAUCAGCUGUAAGCCUUCGUGAUUAUUUCAUAUGCGCUGCUUCCUUUUUAUUGGUACUGAUAACCUUGUGGUUCCCUUUUGGGUCAGAGUUCUCCCCUCCCUCCUUCUUUCAGGGCCAUAGGUCUGCAGCUUCCCAUGAGAAAGGACAGCCAACACAGAAGAACUGAUUUUCCGGUAGAAUCAAUUGAUGACCCGUAAAAAACUUUGUUUAUGACUUAAUAUUUUUGGAGGUGACAUCUCUGUAAAAGAAGAUACUAAAUUUUAUUGAUGAGUUUUUGCAUUAGACAUUUAUAUAUUUUAUUAGUCUUAAUUCUAUUAAAUUUCAUCAUAUCCAUUAUUAUUUGUUUGCUUUGUGUACACUCAGACUUUGCUCUUUC